CUCCCUGGCAGUCAGGGACGUGCAGGAGCUGCCCUGCCAGCCCGGGCUUGGUUUGGCCCGGUUUAGGCGAAAUGUGGUAUCUUGUAUUCCCUCAGGCUGCUUUCUGGUACGGAAGAAACAGAAGACCUAGAAGACCUGAUUGCUUGAAUACUUUUGCUGCUUGAAUGUCAUGUUUUGAGGCCGAUGCACUCACCUGCCAGGUGACAGUGCCCGAGGAGGUACAUUAAGGGAAACAGAAGGCUCCCUUCCUCAUCACUAACUGCAGUCUUUGGCUGCAGACCCUGCAAGUUAGGAUGAGAUCUAAUGGGAGCCUAAGAUGUUGCAUAAACCAAAAAUGUCUGAACCAUGGAGAAAAAGAAUCAGUGUUCAGAAUAUAUGAGGAGCUUUCAUGCUGAGAUUUGAUGAAGUUGAUACAGGAAGAAGAGGAAAAGUACCAUUGCAGUAGAAUGCAUAUGAAAAGAAAGAUAACCAACUGAUGAAGUCCAAGGACGAGUACUGAAAGAUGCAUGCAGAGUACAAAAUACAUUUCUGGGAAGAAAUAAAAGAAGCAAAACAACAUUACAAAAGCAAACUGCUUCCAUGACCUGUCCCUCUGUUUCCCACCAAGAGUUCCUGGCAAACACAAUGCACACAUUGGUUGUAGGGCUAUGGCAGGCAUAUCACAGUCUUCAGAUCAGGACCUGUGCAUACACACAGCCAUGCACACAGUCAGAGUGUCAGUAGAUACCAUGAUUACAAUUAUGACUAGAGCUGACUUGGAUGCAUGCCAUGUCAGAAGUUUGAUGGGCCAGGCUGUGGCUUGGAGAGCUGUGUUUUGCUAUGCAGAGUGUGUUAUUGCAGGGCUUUCAGAAGUGAAGAGAUGACUUUGCUUUGUGACUGGCUCAGGGGAACAGUUAGGGAAGAGCUACUCCCUCCCUUUCGCUCUUUGCAGAUACUGAAGGAAGUUCUUCUACAUACCAUGCCAUAUAAAAGACUGCAGAUGAGGACAGUCUGAAGAAGCAAGAUAGAAACCAGGGCAUUCACUUUGGUUUUUUAAAAUAAGAGUAUAUGCCUUACUUUGUAACUUUUUUCCUCAAUGAGAUUUCUAUUAGACAUUUAUGUCUCAUUUAUUUUUGUUCUGAAAGUAUUAAUCUAAACCUUUUAAAUUUUCAUUAAUUUCCUUUGACCUUACAACUAUCCAUUAUAUUGGUUUUGUUGUAUUCUUUCUUUGAGGCUUGCUAACUAACAAAUUAUCCCCAGGCUGAUUUCAUAUGGAACACCCCCCACUUUCUCACCAAGCAUUAAUAUGUGUAGGGCUUUUUUUGUAUUCCUGACCGCUAUGAAGCAAAUCCAGGCCAGUUUGCAGAAGCUGUCACCUUGUUACUUAGUGGGCUGUUGUUUAAGGGGAUAAAUUUGGUGUCCUGGCAGUAGGGUAAAGUAUGGUUUGGCAAAUAUACUUAGGCUUUGAUGCUAUGAGUUGUCUUUUCCAAACAAGAGUUUCUGGGUGGUAUUUUGAAGCUAUGUAGCCUGCUGCUGUUUUCCUGGAUAUGAUAACACUGCAACACGCCUGUUGUGUUAGAGGCCAUGCUGUAUGAGCACUGCACAUUUAAUGAUCUCUUCUUAUGACCUUUUUUCCCAGAAGUGGAAACGACAACAAAUGAGCUCAGGCUUCAAGGACUUGUGUACCUCAAGGUAGCUUGGAGCACAGCCAGGGCCUAGAGAGGAGCAAUCCGGGCCCACGUUGGGGCUGCCAGAGGAGAAUGUCUCACCCUCGGCCUCUCUCACAGAUGACCCUUGGCCUUCCAGCUGGUUGGCUGGUGAGAACCUGAAAAUGCCACUUCCACCCUUUUGGCUCAGGGCUUAGGUGUGGAACUGCAUAACUCCCUGCUCGCUAUGAGAACUUUCCUGCAUUUCUGCCAGGGGCCAUGGAAGGGACAUGUCUCCCUCAACCCGGUGCCCCCAGCACAUGCCACCCACAGCCCUGUGGCUGAUCACUGCUGCCCAAAGAUUUUGGUCCAGCUUGGCCUAUCAUGGGAGCCCAACUGCUGGAAGAGAGUGAAGGGGGAAUGCAGGGAGAGCCAGGGCUGUCCCUUCCCCUGGGGCACCCCCACAGCAGCGAAGCAGGGCCUUCCCCAGUGCUCCCGCUGCCUCUGGGCUCCUGGACAUUUGGCCUCAUUGCCAACACCCCUCGCAGGCAUGACAUCGGCCCUCAUGUGGUCAGUGAGGAGCAGGAUCUGGGAGCCCAAAAUGCAAAAGUUCCCAUGUUGAUGUGCUGAAAUGGAGAGAUGGUGGAAAUGACUCCUUCUUGGUGGUGCCCCACUCAGGCUCACUGUUCUUGCCCUUGUAGCUUUGGGAAACCCUUCUCCUCACCUUCCCAGUUAUGCUUCCAUUUGCAGUACAAAAAUCUUGCUCACCUAGUCGUCAGGUACUGAAACAAUUUGGCCUUUUUUCUUUAAGUUCUGCUGGAUUCAAUUUUGUAUUCUGUCUUCCAGACGGAAGUGAGACAACAUGACUCUCCAGAGUAGGUCUUCACAUAUUUUGGUCUACUUAAUGUCUGCCAGAAAAUUAUUACACAUGGUCCUUUGCUGGGGUGAGGCAGUGACAUCUCACAUAGAGGAGGCUGAGGUUGCAAUAUGGUAUGCUGGCUUGAUACAGGGACUCAAACUUCAGCAGUUAGUAAUAGCAGAAUUUUUUCUUCAGAAAUGGACAUUUGGACAUUCAAAGGAAACUUCUUUGCACAGCAGCUGCAGCCAUGAGUCUCAAAGACAGAGAGAGGGGAAAUAAGGUAUUAUACAAGAAAUCCCAGGACUCAAGAUAAUGGCAUUUCCAAAUUUAAAAAAAAAUAAAAAUCUGUCUUUUUCAAGUUUUCAACCCAAAUCUUCAGGUUUAGCUUUAAAAGCACUCCAUCAGAGAAAUUCAGCAUUUUACUGCAAGACAAGGUUUUGCACAGAAAUCUAUGAUGAAAAAAAAACAGUUUAGAAAAGUGAAUAUUAAGAAACCUCCAGCCUCUAGUCAGUUUAAAUAUUCAAAAUAGUCAGUUCAGGGAUGAAAUAAUGCAGGGCAUUUUUAUGGUUUUAGCCUAUGAAUUGUGAGAUGCAUCUCCACAUAGUAGCAUAUUGAUAACCUGUAUUUUCAAAGCCUAGAUGCUCUCUUUCUGGACAAAGUUUGAGCUCACAUCUUGGGCAAUGCUGUCUUGUGAAUUUAAUUUUCAUAUUGUAUUCUUAAAUGCCCAUACAUUUCUGGCUGUAAAAGUAGGGAAAAUAAUAAAUUUAAAUGCAAAAUUGAUUACAGUUCCAGCAUAAAAUACCUAGUCAUGCCAAGAUCCAGAAACUUAUAUAUUCAAGUAACUCUGGGGAAGUAAUUUUCCCUAUUUCUGCUGCUGGUGCUCAUGAGCAGAUCUAAAAAGUUCAUACCUUACUAUUCCAAAAGACUGCUGGCAGACAUUUUUUUUACAUGAAGCAGGCAGUCUGUAAUUAAACACUUGUAGAUGGCUGAACUCAGUGAAUUAUGAAUGCUCUGGGACAUAAAGAAUCCCUACAGCAAGAAUUGAUUCCAUCAUUUGGGUCAACAAAGCAAAUGAGUUCUAAGCACAAUUUAAUGAAGUCUGCGAGACAACAUAGUUAUACUUCUCUUGCAUUUAAAUGCUCUUAUGAGAACACUGCACUUACACAAUGUCUUUUAAAAGGUGGGGAAAUGAGCAAGAAAAGAACAUUCUUCAUGUUUCAGUCAAAACAUAACAGUUAAUGUUCCUAAAAGGACAGUUCAGACUAAAGGACAAGUGUGAAAUCUGUAGAAAAUACCAUAAAUUCUUCUGGAGACAAGAUCUGAGUAUUUCUGCUAUCCCUCCUGCCUCUGAAUAAUACCAUCCCUCAUUUCCACAGACCCUGAGAGACCAUUUAAUUCCUACUCUUUAGCUCUGCAUGUACUGGUGCAACUUAUAUUAGUAGGGCUAUGGUAAGGUCUAUGGUAAGCUGCUGACUUUUUGAUUGUGAUUUUGUCUUGGGAACCAUAGAUGCUUUGCAGCAAUAGAUGAAAGUCACAGGGAAUUUUUACACUGUUUGGCUGAGAAGAAGACUCAAGAUUCUGUGGGCUCUGUGCCAUGAUAAUUGAGCUAGGUUGCUUUGGGAUCUUCACAUCGUGAGGAUCUAUCAGUGCUGGUCCAGGAUACAGAUCCUGACCAGUUCUUGGCAUAUUUAGCACAGGUUCAAGUCUCCCAUCCUGAUUUUAAUUUCUGAGCAGCUUUCCAUUAGCUCAAAAUCUGAUGAGAUAUUUACUGUGUAGGUAUAAAUAUACAUAUAAUGCCCUUGCCACUCCCUAGGAAGGCAGCAUGACUCCAGUUCAUGUGUGAGCAGACUUAA